CGUAAAGAGCUCGUAGGUGGUUUGUCGCGUUGUUCGUGAAAUCUCACGGCUUAACUGUGAGCGUGCGGGCGAUACGGGCAGACUUGAGUACUGCAGGGGAGACUGGAAUUCCUGGUGUAGCGGUGGAAUGCGCAGAUAUUAGGAGGAACACCGGUGGCGAAGGCGGGUCUCUGGGCAGUAACUGACGCUGAGGAGCGAAAGCGUGGGGAGCGAACAGGAUUAGAUACCCUGGUAGUCCACGCCGUAAACGGUGGGUACUAGGUGUGGGUUUCCUUCCUUGGGAUCCGUGCCGUAGCUAACGCAUUAAGUACCCCGCCUGGGGAGUACGGCCGCAAGGCUAAAACUCAAAGAAAUUGACGGGGGCCCGCACAAGCGGCGGAGCAUGUGGAUUAAUUCGAUGCAACGCGAAGAACCUUACCUGGGUUUGACAUGCACAGGACGCCGGCAGAGAUGUCGGUUCCCUUGUGGCCUGUGUGCAGGUGGUGCAUGGCUGUCGUCAGCUCGUGUCGUGAGAUGUUGGGUUAAGUCCCGCAACGAGCGCAACCCUUGUCUCAUGUUGCCAGCGGGUAAUGCCGGGGACUCGUGAGAGACUGCCGGGGUCAACUCGGAGGAAGGUGGGGAUGACGUCAAGUCAUCAUGCCCCUUAUGUCCAGGGCUUCACACAUGCUACAAUGGCCGGUACAAAGGGCUGCGAUGCCGCGAGGUUAAGCGAAUCCUUUUAAAGCCGGUCUCAGUUCGGAUCGGGGUCUGCAACUCGACCCCGUGAAGUCGGAGUCGCU
rnacentral:rRNA from 1 species